AGCGAACGCUAGCGGCGGGCCUAACACAUGCAAGUCGAGCGGAGGGAGCAAUCCUUCAGCGGCGGACGGGUGAGUAACGCGUAGGUAAUGUACCUUCUGGUGGGGAAUAACCGUGGGAAACCAUGGCUAAUACCGCAUAUCGUCCUUACGGAUGAAAGCCUUCGGGCGCCAGAAGAGCAGCCUGCGUCCCAUUAUUUAGUCCUAGUUGGUGAGGUAACGGCUCACCAAGGGUACGAUGGGUAGCUGGUCUGAGAGGAUGAUCAGCCACACUGGGACUGAGACACGGUCCAGACUCCUACGGGAGGCAGCAGUGGGGAAUAUUGCGCAAUGGGCGAAAGCCUGACGCAGCCACGCCGCGUGAGUGAUGAAGGCC
rnacentral:rRNA from 1 species